rnacentral:rRNA from 1 species
GACGAACGCUGGCGGCGUGCUUAACACAUGCAAGUCGAACGGAAAGGCCCUGCUUUUGUGGGGUGCUCGAGUGGCGAACGGGUGAGUAACACGUGAGUAACCUGCCCUUGACUUUGGGAUAACUUCAGGAAACUGGGGCUAAUACCGGAUAGGAGCUCCUGCUGCAUGGUGGGGGUUGGAAAGUUUCGGCGGUUGGGGAUGGACUCGCGGCUUAUCAGCUUGUUGGUGGGGUAGUGGCUUACCAAGGCUUUGACGGGUAGCCGGCCUGAGAGGGUGACCGGCCACAUUGGGACUGGGAUACGGCCCGGACUCCUACGGGAGGCAGCAGUGGGGAAUAUUGCACAAUGGGCGGAGGCCUGAUGCAGCAACGCCGCGUGCGGGAUGACGGCCUUCGGGUUGUAAACCGCUUUCGCCUGUGACGAAGCGUUAGUGACGGUAAUGGGUAAAGAAGCACCGGCUAACUACGUG